GGAGGAAAAGAAACUAACAAGGAUUCCCCUAGUAGCGGCGAGCGAAGCGGGAAGAGCUCAAAUUUAUAAUCUGGCACCUUCGGUGUCCGAGUUGUAAUCUCUAGAAGUGUUUUCCGCGUUGGACCGCACACAAGUCUGUUGGAAUACAGCGGCAUAGUGGUGAAACCCCCGUAUAUGGUGCGGACGCCCAGCGCUUUGUGAUACACUUUCAAUGAGUCGAGUUGUUUGGGAAUGCAGCUCAAAUUGGGUGGUAAAUUCCAUCUAAAGCUAAAUAUUGGCGAGAGACCGAUAGCGAACAAGUACCGUGAGGGAAAGAUGAAAAGCACUUUGGAAAGAGAGUUAACAGUACGUGAAAUUGUUGGAAGGGAAACGCUUGAAGUCAGACUUGCUUGCCGGAGCUUGCUUCGGUUUGCAGGCCAGCAUCAGUUUUCCGGGGUGGAUAAUGACGGUUUGAAGGUAGCAGUCUCGGCUGUGUUAUAGCUUUCCGUUGGAUACAUCCUGGGGGACUGAGGAACGCAGCGUGCUUUUUGCGAAAGACUCGUCUUUUUCACGCUUAGGAUGCUGGUGGAAUGGCUUUAAACGACCCGUCU
rnacentral:rRNA from 1 species